rnacentral:rRNA from 1 species
CCUACGGGGGGCAGCAGUGGGGAAUAUUGGACAAUGGGGGCAACCCUGAUCCAGCCAUGCCGCGUGUGUGAAGAAGGCCCUCGGGUUGUAAAGCACUUUCAGUGAGGAAGAACGCCUGGUGGUUAAUACCCAUCAGGAAAGACAUCACUCACAGAAGAAGCACCGGCUAACUCCGUGCCAGCAGCCGCGGUAAUACGGAGGGUGCGAGCGUUAAUCGGAAUUACUGGGCGUAAAGCGCGCGUAGGUGGCUUGAUAAGCCGGUUGUGAAAGCCCCGGGCUCAACCGGGGAACGGCAUCCGGAACUGUCAAGCUAGAGUGCCGGAGAGGAAGGUGGAAUUCCCGGUGUAGCGGUGAAAUGCGUAGAGAUCGGGAGGAAUACCAGUGGCGAAGGCGGCCUUCUGGACUGACACUGACACUGAGGUGCGAAAGCGUGGGUAGCAAACAGGAUUAUAUACCCCAGUAGUC